rnacentral:rRNA from 1 species
GUCUAUAGCCAAACUACCUGAAUGCACCAAUCUUGUUUAAUUUUGGAAGCUAAGCAGGGUCGAGCCUGGUUAGUACUUGAAUGGGAGACUGCCUGGGAGUACCAGGUGCUGUAUGCU